AGCUUUAUAUUCAAAUUGAUGAUUUUUGAUUGCAAGUCUAAAGUUGAGUACAAUUAAUUGCUCUAAGGCUU
rnacentral:tRNA from 1 species